rnacentral:rRNA from 1 species
AUACGGAGGAUGCGAGCGUUAUCCGGAUUUAUUGGGUUUAAAGGGUGCGUAGGCGGGAUUUUAAGUCAGCGGUGAAACGCAAGGGCUCAACCCUUGACCUGCCGUUGAAACUGGAGUUCUUGAAUGCGGAUGCUGUGGGAGGAAUGUGUGGUGUAGCGGUGAAAUGCAUAGAUAUCACACAGAACACCGAUUGCGAAGGCAUCUCACAAAUCCGUGAUUGACGCUGAGGCACGAAAGUGUGGGGAUCAAACAGGAUUAGAUACCCUGGUAGUCCACACUGUAAACGAUGAUAACUCGCUGUCGGCGAUACACAGUCGGUGGCCAAGCGAAAGCGAUAAGUUAUCCACCUGGGGAGUACGACCGCAAGGUUGAAACUCAAAGGAAUUGACGGGG